AUUAGUCAACAUUAGAAACUCUAAGACUAUGUGCCAUAUUUCUAGAGAGAAGAGCCGCACCACCCCAGGAGGGAUGAAGACAAUCUCUUUUCAACAGGACAUCCUGAGAAGGAUGACUGGGAAAACUCAAACCAGCAAUAUAACAAACAAGACAGAUGCUCGCUCACUGAAUUCCAGAGUGUUCAUUGGUAACCUCAACACUGCUGUGGUUAAGAAAACUGACAUUGAGCUCAUUUUUGGCAAGUAUGGGAAGAUCACCGGCUGCUCUGUGCACAAGGGCUUUGCUUUCGUCCAGUAUGCCUGCGAGAGGAACGCUCGAUCGGCUGUGGCUGGUGAGAACGCCAGGGUCCUGGCUGGACAGACCUUAGACAUUAACAUGGCUGGAGAACCACGUCCUUACAGGCCAAAAGUGGGAUCCAAGCGACCUUUCUCCUUAUACAGAAGUGGAUAUGAAUUUGAUUAUGAUUUCUACAGGGACGAUUUCUAUACCAGAAUUUUUGACAUUCAUGGAAAAUUAGCACCCUCCCCUCGAGCCGUGAUGCCUAUCAAGCAUUCCCGUUUGGUUUCACUCUCAACACGCAGGACAAAAAACUCAUUCCAUCCAAAGAUGUCCACCUGCUCUUCUUAUCUAAGAACGCUGUCUUCAGGUUCCUUAUGCUCUAUGGUGAAAUCCGAUCAGCUCCUGACAAUCAAAAAAGAACUGUUCCAGAUAAAGAUUAAGAUUGACUCCUUACUGGGAAGGCUAGAGAAGAUUGAACAGAAGCAGAUAGCAGAAGCAGACACCCACAGGAAGCACGAGAAGGCCUAUCAAUCUCUCUAUAGUGAGACAGAAGAGGAUGUGGAUCAGGAACAUCAGGAAGCGGGGUCUUGGGAAGUGACUGAUGAAGGUGACCGGGCUAACAGUGAACUGAGAGAAAACCACAUAUCUGAUGUAGACAACUGAGCAAGAUUUUUGUGUGAUGACGUCACUAUCUGUGAUUUGAGACUCCCUGCUGUCCAUGACUGGGACCAGCACAGCUAUCAAGUUUACUAUUUUUGGAAGAUAUCAAGAUCAAAUUGUUCAACCUUUCAUGUAUAUUUAUUUUUUGAUAUGCAUUUUUCAUGUACAACUGGUCAUGCAUGCACCUACAUGAGUAUGUAUAGUCAGACAAAAUGAAAGGAUGAAAAACGUAACUUAAUAUGUAUAAUAAUUAAUGUAUUUUAUCGUGCAAAUAUUAUUCAUUUCAGUGUCAAUUGUCAUAAAGGUUUGCAAAUAAAUAAAUACAACAUUUA